ACUACUCUCAAUAAUGGAUAUCUUGACUCUUGCAUCGAUGAAGAACAUAGUGAAAUAUGAUACUUGGUGUGAAAUGCAGAAUCCCAUGAGCCAUCGAGUCUUUGAAUGCAAGUUUCACCAUAAGCCAUUAGGCCAAGGGCUUGAUUGCCUGGGUGUCAUGCAUCAUUGCCCCUUCAAACCCCCCACCCAUCAGGCUUCAGGCGAGGUGGCAAAAAAUGGCCUCUUAUGAUCUUGUUAGUUGUCAUUAGCCCAAAAGUGAGUCCCCGAUAAAGAUAAUGUUGUGACCAUUGCUGGUAAAGCUCUUAGCAUGCAUUAUCUCUAGUGACGAGCAUUUAUUUUCCAUUUGAACCCCAUCAGACCCCUCGCAUCACUCAAUCAAUGCUCGCAUCGUGACCCUAUGUUAGGCAAGAUUACUCUCUGAGUUUAAGCAUAUCAAUAUGUAAUGGAAAAGAAACUUGCUAGGAUUCCCCUAGUAAUGAUGAGCAAAUUGGGAAAAGCCUAACUUGAUAAUCGAGCAUCUUCGAUGUCCAAAUUGUAGUCUGGAAAAGCAUCCUCAAUGGUAGACUAGGCCCAAGUCCACUAGAAAAAGGUAUCGAAUAGGGUGAAAGCCCUAUUAUGCCUAGACCCUAUCACACCAUGAGGUGCUAUCUACGAGUCGAGUUAUUUAGGAAUGUAGCCCUAAUCAGGUAGUAAAUUCUAUCCAAGGCUGAAUACAAGGAAGAAACCAAUAACAAACAAGUAUCAUGAGGGAAAUAUGAAAAGGACUUUAAGAAAAGAGUCAAAAAGUGCAUGAAAUUAUUGGUAGAGAAGUAGAUGAGGGCUAGGAAUGCUCAUCAGUUGGAUGUGGAAUGGCGAGAGCUGGUCCACCAAUCGGCUUGGGGCAUGGAUCGAUGUAGAUCAUGGCAAUGGCCCAAUCUCAAGCUUUUUAUUUGCCUACAGAGACAUUGUCGCCACUAUCAUGGAAUGCAACACAUGCCAUCUAGAUGUGUGUCAGCCCAUAUGUGCUCCUAGGGUCAACCUAUAAGCUUCUCAUCUGGCUCAUGUUGAAACACGAACCAAGGAAUCUGACAUGUGUGCAAGUCAAGGAGCUAGAAAACCCAUAAGGUGUAAGGAAACUAACUAGCAAGAUCUCUUGCAAGUGCACUACUAACCAAACUUGAUCUUUUGAAUUGCGCCUGAGUGAGGUGAAGGUGAAGGAAACUCUGAUGGAGGCCCGCAGUAAUACUAACAUGCAAAUCAUUCAUCUAACUUGGGUUUAGAGUGAAAAACUAAUUGAAAUGUCUAGUAGCUAGCUCCCUCUAAAGUUUCUCUCAAGAUAGCUGGAGCCCUUAGCAAGUUCUAUCAAGUAAAGCUAAUGAUUAGAGGCAUCAGAGAUUCAACACCCUUGACCUAUUCUCAAAAUUUAAAUAGGUAAAAAAGUGAGGCUACUUCAUGGAACAACUCCAUGGAAUCAUGAGCUUCAAGUGGGCCAUUUUGUUAAGCAGAACUGGUGAUGCAGGAUGAACUAGAAGCUAGGUUACGAUGCCUAACUGCAUGCUAACCUAGAACCCAUAAAGGGUGUUGGUCAAUUAAAAUAAUAGGACAGUGGUAAUAAAAGUCAAAAUCCACUAAGGAGUGUGUAAUAACUCUAUUGCUAAAUCAACUAGCCUUAAAAAAGGAUGGUGCUUAAGCACACGACCUAUAUAUGGCUAUUAGGGCAAGGGCCAGGCCCUAAUGAAUAGCAAGGUGUGGGAGCACUGCAAAACCCAAAGCAUAAGUAGAGCGACCAUCAGUAUAGAUCUUAGUGGUAGCAACAAAUAUUCAAAUAAGAACUUUAAGGCUAAAAAAAAGAAAGGUUCCAUGUGAAUGGCACUUGCACAUGGGUUAGUCAAUCCUAAAAGAUGGGGAAAGGUCAUCUGAUAGCAUGUCCAGCACAAGCUUCAAAAGGGAAUCAAGCUAAAAUUCUUAAACCAAGAUACGGUGACUAAUGGCAACGUUAAGGAGUUUGAAGAUGUUGGUGGAGGCCUUAGGAAGAGUUGUUUAUUUUAUUUAAUAUCCUGCUUACCCUAGAAAUGGCUCAACCAAAGGUAGGGUCCAACAACCAAAAGAGCACUACAUGUUGCAUGGUGUCUAAUGAGCCCCUGGUGACCUUUGAAAAUUUAGAAGACCAACUACCAUCCAUGCCCAAUCAUACUCAUAACUACAUCAGGUCUCUAAUGUGAACAACCUUUGGUUGAUGAACCAGUAUAGGUAAAGGAUGUCGAUAAAAUAGAUUUGUAACCUUAGGAAAAGGGUUGGCUUUGAAGGCUAGGCAUAGGGGUUCCAAUCCUGAAACUAUUGGCUACUGGUGCACUACUUGAACUGCUCUUACAAUGAGAAUGGGUUAUCACAUGCCGGUUAGGGGAUGGACUGAGAAUGGCUCCCUUAGGGGUCUUUCCUAGAUGAUGAAUAAUAGACUCAAAACUAUUAUGAACAAGGGCAAUCCAACUAUUUAAUUAAAACAAAGCAUUGCAAUGGUCCCUACAGAUGCUCACUCAAUGUUAUUUUUGCCCAGUGCUCUGAAUGUCAAAGUGAAGAAAUUCAACCAAGUGCAGGUAAAUAGCGGGAGCAACUAUGACUCUCUUAGGGUAACCAAAUGUCUCAUCAUCUAAUUAGUGACAUGCAUAAAUGGAUUAAUGAGAUUCCUAUUAUCCUUAUCUACUAUCCAACAAAACCAUAACCAAGGGAAUGAGCUUGGUAGAGUCCAACUUUGUGAAAUGACUUGAGAGGUAUAAGAUAAGUGGGAGCCCUUAGGCAAAAUUGAAAUAUCACAACUUUUAACAUUAUUUUACUUAUUCCAUGAACCAGAGGUGGGGCAUAACCCCUUCUUUUGGAACCAAAACUACCAUUGGUUGAUCAAUCCAAGCGUAAAACCUUGUUAGGUGGGGAGUUUGUCUAAGGUGGCACAUUUGUUAAAAGAUAAUAUAGGUAUCCUAAGAUGAGCUCAAUAAGAAUAGAAAUCUUGUGUGGAACAAAAGGGUAAAAGCUCAUUUAAUUUUAUUUUCCAAUACGAAUACGAAUCAUGAAAGUGUGGCCUAUUGAUCUUUUAGACCUUUAAAAUUUGAAGCUAGAGGUGUUAGAAAAGUUACCAAAGGGAUAAUUGGCUUAUGAUAACCAAGCAUUCAUAGCGACAUUGCUUUUUGAUUCUUUGAUGUUGGCUCUUCCUAUCAUUGUGAAGCAGAAUUCACCAAGUAUUAGAUUGUUCACCCACCACUAGGAAACAUGAGCUAGGUUUAGACUACCAUGAGACAGGUUAGUUUUACCCCACUGAUGGUAACAUCACACCUAGUAUGAGAGGAACUAUUGAUUUGCACAAUCGGUCAUCAUGUUUGGUUGAAAAGCUAGUAGUGUGAAGCUACCAUGAACUAGAUUAUGACUGAACAACUCUAAGUUAGAAUCCAUGCUAGAAACAAUGCACACACCCAUCACCCGAUUGCCAACCUUAGUAGGGGCCCAUGGCCCUCAAUGGCACAUGUUGUAGGUGCAGCCCUUCCGACGGAUAAGCCACACGAGCCUCUUUAGGGUUAAUUCCCAUAGAG
rnacentral:rRNA from 1 species